GACAGAGGGUGCAAACGUUGUUCGGAAUUACUGGGCGUAAAGCGCGUGUAGGCGGCCCAGCAAGUCGGAUGUGAAAGCCCUGGGCUUAACCUAGGAAGUGCAUUCGAAACUGCUGGGCUUGAGUUCUGGAGAGGAAAGCGGAAUUCCUGGUGUAGAGGUGAAAUUCGUAGAUAUCAGGAGGAACACCAGUGGCGAAGGCGGCCUUCUGGACGGUAACUGACGCUGAGACGCGAAAGCGUGGGGAGCAAACAGG
rnacentral:rRNA from 1 species